CUUAACGGAGUUAGUGGAAUCUCGAGAGAGUCUCUCGGGGACUGGACUAACCACAAGUUGUGGUGAACCAGGAUAAAUUCGAUGUGUCCUUUCCUUAAUCUUUUAAUUUCCGCAUUUACUUUACUCCUGCAAUUUUAAUUCCGUAAUAUUUAUCAAUAUUCUCGUGGCGCACUAUUCACCCCCCUCUAGUGACGGGCAUAAAUCCUAACAUCACUACAAGAUGCAUAGAUAUGCAAAGCGACAGAAAUUUACAAAAUAAUAAUACAUAAAAUAGCCUAAAUACAAUCAAUAAAAGAAACAAAGAGAAAUCUAAAUUAAAACUUUGAAGUUCCAUUCUUCAUAUGUAUUCAUGAUUUCAUAUUUUCAGCUUACACAAUGUUACAGUCGUGUACCUGAUAUUGGAAACAAGAGGAGGAAGGUGAGAAAUCAGCAAGGCAGUAAUCAGCACAGCAAAACAACAACAGUAGUAGCUAAACCCAGCAACAGAUUUCAACCAAAACCAAGUAAAAUCAAACCACGAAAUACCAACAGAAAUGGACUUGACCCACAACAAUAUCAACACAAGCCAAAUGAACUCAAAGACACACUAGAAUUACUUAAGAUCGGUCUUAGUGUAUUUGAAUCAAGAGAAAUAAAAUCAAUGAAGCAAGAAGAGAAGCUUCAAAUAAUCAGUUGGGUUUUCAGCUCUCUAAUCUUUUCAACUGUCAAUCCUUUUCUUAUUCUCUGUUUUCAUUCUCUUAAAAUCAAUGGGGUUUUCAGCUCUUUAACUUUUCAACUCUCAAUCCUUUUCUUAUUCUAUGUUUUCGUUCUCUUAAGUUCUGAAAUUUUUUGAUGUCCAAAUUCCAGUCCCUUUAAGUGUAAAAUGAGUCAUAUUAUAUACCGCAAAGCCAGAUUCCUUUCUUAUACCCUUUUAAUAUUAUUACUACCCCUUUUAUUAUUACCUAUACUAUUUCUGAUUUUCAAUUAAGUAAAAAAGUAGUCAACGCGGACCCCACCGUUCCCCUCUUUACAAUGGACCACAUUAUUAAUCAUAUUUUUACUUUACAUCAUUAUGCUCCCCACAAGUCUUGUCCCCUCUUAUUUUAAUUAAAAUUUGUGGGUCCACAUUUAAUCAAUUUCCAAAAUACCCCCGAAAUUAUUGAAAUUACCGUUCUACCCCAUCCCGUCAAUCUGCACCAAAAUUAUCAAAAAACACCAACUUACUACAGCUAUAACUAAAUUCCUGAUCAAAUUCAACAAUUAAUUCAAGGUAUAUGAUGAAAAAAAAAGAACCAACUGAAAUUAUUCUGAACAAUAUUCUUAGCAAACAUACUUUCAAAUUCAAUAACAAUAACAUAAUUGAACACAACAAACUAGUAGACUUCAAUCACUAAACUCAGACUCAAAUUAAACUUAACAGAUCAAACAAACAACUUUAAAUCUCUAACUCAGAUCCAAAUUUAGACUCAACACAACAAUAAAACAAAUUCAAAUCACUAAACUCAUAAUCAAUUGAACUUCAAAUUAAAUUUAAUAAUAUUGCGACCAAGAUGAAAGAUUUAUUAAACUAAAACUUCUAUAAUAAAACUAAAUUCUUUUAAAUAAAUAAAAACAAACUGAAGAAAUAAACAAGAAAAUGAUAAAUAAUGAACAAGAAAAUAAUAGACAUAUACUGAUUUUAGAUUCGAGAAUAUCAAACAAAAUACAGAUAGAAAUAAAACUUAAACCAACUAACCGGAUCGAAACAACGACGAACUCGAACGAAAAUAAAUCUGCCCCGAAAUUUUGAAACCAAAACAACUCGAAUCUGGCCCAAAAAUUUUGUAUAUUUUCUGGUUGAUUUAAAGCGAUAUCACUGGACGCGAAGACGACCACGAACUGGACGACGUGGACGACCAGGAACUGGACUGGAACAAAAGGGACCGUUUGGACACUGGGCUGCUCACUUGAAGAAGCUGAGGCAGAAGCUGGUUGGUUUGGUUAGUUGGGCGUGAGGAAGUACGGUGGUUUUAGGUCGUUCGUGGCUGUAGCUAUGGUUGCUGCUGGUUCACAACGGAGCUCCUGGAGCUUGGGUGAUCGCUGGGGAUGACUGGUCGUUUGGCUCGUGAAGGUGGUCGACCAUGGCUGCUUCGUGAGGGUGUAACGACGGGGAAGGGGAAGUUGCCGGCGUACUUCUGGUCGUUUGGCAGUGGCUGCUCGACGGGCUGGAGGAGACGAUGAUUGUUUGGACAUGGAUGACGUGGGGGAGGGGUUGAUGAGGAAGAUGACGGGAAGGGCAGCCAUGAUUGGAGGGGUUUGGAUCUUUGUGGUUUUAGGGUUUGAAGAUGUGUUUGGAGAAGAUGAAGAGAGGCUAGGUUUUUUUUCUUCUCUCUAGUUCAAAAAAUCUGAUGGGUGUUGGUUAUUUGGGGGGUUGGAUCGGGUCAAGGGUUUUUUGGGUUGGGUUGAUGUGUUUUUGGGCCUAGAUUUAGAAUUGACU
rnacentral:lncRNA from 1 species